rnacentral:rRNA from 1 species
UGGGGAAUUUUGGACAAUGGGGGAAACCCUGAUCCAGCCAUCCCGCGUGUGCGAUGAAGGCCUUCGGGUUGUAAAGCACUUUUGGCAGGAAAGAAACGUCAUGGGUUAAUACCCCGUGAAACUGACGGUACCUGCAGAAUAAGCACCGGCUAACUACGUGCCAGCAGCCGCGGUAAUACGUAGGGUGCAAGCGUUAAUCGGAAUUACUGGGCGUAAAGCGUGCGCAGGCGGUUCGGAAAGAAAGAUGUGAAAUCCCAGAGCUCAACUUUGGAACUGCAUUUUUAACUACCGGGCUAGAGUGUGUCAGAGGGAGGUGGAAUUCCGCGUGUAGCAGUGAAAUGCGUAGAUAUGCGGAAGAACACCGAUGGCGAAGGCAGUCUCCUGGGAUAACACUGACGCUCAUGCACGAAAGCGUGGGGAGCAAACAGG